GUGCCAGCAGCCGCGGUAAUACGUAGGUGGCAAGCGUUAUCCGGAAUUAUUGGGCGUAAAGCGCGCGUAGGCGGUUUUUUAAGUCUGAUGUGAAGCCCACGGCUCAACCGUGGAGGGUCAUUGGAAACUGGAAAACUUGAGUGCAGAAGAGGAAAGUGGAAUUCCAUGUGUAGCGGUGAAAUGCGCAGAGAUAUGGAGGAACACCAGUGGCGAAGGCGACUUUCUGGUCUGUAACUGACGCUGAUGUGCGAAAGCGUGGGGAUCAAACAGGAUUAGA
rnacentral:rRNA from 1 species